UACGGAGGAUGCAAGCGUUAUCCGGAAUGAUUGGGCGUAAAGCGUCCGCAGGUGGUGAUGUAAGUCUGUUGUUAAAGCGUGCGGCUUAACCGCAUAAGGGCGAUGGAAACUACAAGACUAGAGUGCGUUAGGGGUAGAGGGAAUUCCUGGUGUAGCGGUGAAAUGCGUAGAGAUCAGGAAGAACACAGGUGGCGAAAGCGCUCUACUAUGCCGCAACUGACACUGAGGGACGAAAGCUAGGGGAGCGAAUGGG
rnacentral:rRNA from 1 species